GACAGAGGUCCCAAGCGUUAGGCGGAAUCACUGGGCUUAAAGCGUGUGUAGGCGGAUCCGUAAGUACCUUGUGAAAUCCCACGGCUCAACCGUGGAACUGCUGGGUAUACUGCGGGUCUUGAGCCACCUAGGGGCGAGCGGAACAAGUGGUGGAGCGGUGAAAUGCGUAGAUAUCCUAAGGAACACCCGUGGCGAAAGCGGCUCACUGGGUCUCUUCUGACGCUGAGGCACGAAAGCUAGGGUAGCGAACGGG
rnacentral:rRNA from 1 species